GUGAGAUGAGACCUUGUAUUCCAAACGUUUUUCAAGACACAGGAAAGGUCCGGUUGAAAUAUUACUGAUGUUUCACGUUAAAAAUGGCCCUAAAGAUUGAUGCAAAACAACGUUUGACAUGUUUGAAGGAACGUAAAUAGAUUUAUUUUUUUACUUUUCGUCGUAACUUUUCCCUCCCGCGCCCUACAUUUUGAGUAGCCUACUGAACACGCUAACAACACGGAACAACAUGGAGUUAUUUGGACAUAAAUUAUGAACUUCAUCGGAAAAAAAAACAUUUGUUGUGGACCUGGGAUUCCUGGAAGUGCCUUCUGAUGAAGAUUAUUAAAGGACCUGAGCCCUAGGACCAUGCCUCAGGACUACCUCACCUGAUGACUCCUUGCUGUCCCCAGUCCACCUGGCCGUGCUGCUGCUCCAGUUUCAACUGUUCUGCCUGCGGCUAUGGAACCCUGACCUGUUCACCGGACGUGCUACCUGUCAAAGACCUGCUGUUUUCAACUCUCUAGAGACAGCAGGAGCAGUAGAGAUACUCUGAAUGAUCGGCUAUGAAAAGCCAACUGACAUUUACUCCUGAGGUGCUGACCUGUUGCACCCUCGACAACCACUGUGAUUAUUAUUAUUUGACCCUGUUGCUCAUCUAUGAACAUUUGAACAUCUUGGCCAUUUUCUGUUAUAAUCUCCACCCGGCACAGCCAGAAGAGGACUGGCCACCCCUCAUAGCCUGGUUCCUCUCUAGGUUACUUCCUAGGUUCUGGCCUUUCUAGGGAGUUUUUCCUAGCCACCGUGCUUCUACACCUGCAUUGCUUGCUGUUUGGGGUUUUAGGCUGUGUUUCUGUACAGCACUUUGAGAUAUCAGCAGAUGUAAGAAGGGC
rnacentral:lncRNA from 1 species